rnacentral:rRNA from 1 species
GAAGGUGGCAAGCGUUAUUCGGAUUUACUGGGCGUACAGGGAGCGUAGGCGGUUCGGUAAGCCCUUUGUGAAAUCUUCAGGCUUAACCUGGAAAAGUCGGAGGGGACUGCCGGGCUAGAGGACGGGAGAGGAGCGCGGAAUUCCCGGUGUAGCGGUGAAAUGCGUAGAGAUCGGGAGGAAGGCCGGUGGCGAAGGCGGCGCUCUGGAACGUUUCUGACGCUGAGGCUCGAAAGCGUGGGGAGCAAACAGGAUUAGAUACCCUGGUAGUCCACGCCUUAAACUAUGAAUACUAAGUGUCGGCGGGUUACCGCCGGUGCCGCAGCUAACGCAUUAAGUAUUCCGCCUGGGAAGUACGGCCGCAANGUNG